UACAGAGGGGGCAAGCGUUAUUCGGAAUUAUUGGGCGUAAAGGGCGCGUAGGCGGCCUGGCAAGUGGAAGGUGAAAUCCCUCGGCUUAACCGAGGAACUGCCCUCCAAAACUGCUUGGCUUGAGUCCGGGAGAGGUGAGUGGAAUUCCCAGUGUAGCGGUGAAAUGCGUAGAUAUUGGGAGGAACACCAGUGGCGAAGGCGGCUCACUGGACCGGAACUGACGCUGAGGGCGCGAAAAGCGUGGGGGAGCGAACAGG
rnacentral:rRNA from 1 species